rnacentral:lncRNA from 1 species
GUAUUUUUAGUAGAGACGGGGUUUCACCAUGUUGGCCAGGCUGGUCUUGAACUACUGGUCUCAAGUGACCCGCCUGCCUCAGCCUCCCAAAGUGCUGGGAUUACAGGCAUAAGCCACUACGCCUGGCCUAAUUUUGUAUCUUUUGAAGCAAUCUAAGGCCAAUCACAAAGAGUGGCUGCUCACUCCCUUGCCUGAUGUGGCCUAUUUAAGCCCUUUGUCUGCCAGCCAGGAGGACUUGAAGGAGAAGGAGAAAGCCUCCUGGAGCAACCUCUCCAUGGAUGAAAAAGUUGAGUUGUGUUGCAUUCAGUUCAACAGGAGCUUUUCUGGGAUAAACAGGGGCAUGAAAAAGUGGAAGAUGGUUGUGGGCACUGCCAUGUUCUUUGGCUUCACAGCUCUUGUUCUGAUCCGGGAGAAACACUGUGUAUGGUCUCAUCCCACACGGCUUUGAUGAAGAGUGUGGGCAUGCAGACCAAGAGGAUGCUAGACAUGAAGUCAGUCCCAUCUAGGACUUCUCUGCCAACUGGUACUACAACAAGAACCAAUGGAA